UUUCAAGUUUCUAUACAUUUAUAUAAAUUUUAAGAGAGUAAAAUGUUGACGAAAACUGCAUUAAGUUUUCAACUCUUGUUUUGUUUUUCAUUAAAAAUUUGCUACGAUUAUGUAUAAUUCAUUUUUUUUAAUGUAAAUGUUUUUAAGUAUUUGUAGGAUAAAGGCAAAUUACACUUAUUCAUUCUUUCUUUGAUAUAAUACAUGUAGCUCUUUACCUGAAAUCAAUGUUUGUCAAAUUAUUGUGCAUAAAUUAGAAGUAUGCAUGUUUCUCUUAAGUCAGUUAUGUUUCAGGAACUAUCUUGUAUAGAAUAAUAAUGAAUUGUAUAGAAAAUUGUGGACGAGGUGUUAGGUGUACAGGAACGUGGUAUAUUAUAAACAUGUAUAGUAUCUCAUAGUAUAUAAACUCAUAACUUUGAUUAUGCAGUAUGCUUUGUAUAUUAUUUCUGAAAGCAUGUAUAUUUCAAUCAAGAUUGUUGAGUAAACUUUUCUUGCUUUAUGCUAUCUCUGAAAGCAUGUAUAUUUCAGUCAAGAUUGUUGAGUAAAUUGUGCUUAUUUUAUGCUUUUUUCUUUUUUACAUUAGAAAAUUCCACACCUUUAUCACGAGGAAAUCUGCAAUGGCAUUUAGGAAUGACAAGUUUGUAUCUAUUACAUAAAAUCUAAUGUUUUCUGGAUUCUUCUUUUCCUUUUCCUCCCAACAGAAAAACUUUAAUGAUAGAAGCUCAACUAUUCGAAGCAGGAGACCGAAGAGAAAAAAGGAAGAGAGAGAUGAUAUUACAGCUGCAGAAAAGGAAAUAAUUGAAACGCAGAAGAAUAUAUUAAUGUACUGUGUGAAAUAUGUGACUUGUAUAAGCAAUCAGUUGCAAAUCAGUCUGCUGUCAUAGAAAAUCAAAAUAUAAUUAUUAAUUUAUUAAAAAAAUAAAUCAUGCAUUUCAAAUA